UGUCGUGCGCAGAUAUACGAAUGCCCCUCCAACUGCGGAUCGGUUAUCAAUUCUCUUACCUGCUUAUUCCGGCUUAGUCAGUUGAGCGCUGCCUCGUGGUGCGCACGUGUUUUAUUCAUUAAUCAAACAUGGUGACGAUUUUACGCGUUUCUUAAUAUGUUAAUUUUGUAGUAAUGCUAGAAUCGGUUGACCAUCAGAGAAAUUUAGUAGUAACAGCUCAGUGUAGCUCACAACGAGUGAUUUGAGUAAUCCUUUGCGGUGCGUGCGUGGCGUCCGUCGGAUAUGUUCCGCCGGUGGAUAUGUGUUUAUUGUGAGUACAAGUUUUCCAUUCGUGGUAUCCGCAUGGAAUAGUAAAGAAGUGCGUAUCAUCAAUUCAACUUACAAUUUGCGGAAACGUGUUUGUGCGAUUUAGUUCUUUAUGGAUAGAAGAACAAAGCAGCACCAUAUUAUUGCUUUAUAAUAAUUGUAAAUGAUUCAGUCAAUAAAGGAUAAUUUAAUUUCA